CUACGGAGGGUGCAAGCGUUAAUCGGAAUUACUGGGCGUAAAGCGCGCGCAGGCGGGCUGAUAAGUUGGAUGUGAAAGCCUACGGCUCAACCGUAGAACUGCAUCCAAAACUGUCAGUCUAGAGUCUGGGAGGGGAAGAUGGAAUUAGUUGUGUAGGGGUAAAAUCCGUAGAGAUAACUAGGAAUACCAAAAGCGAAGGCGAUCUUCUGGAACAGUACUGACGCUGAGGCGCGAAAGCGUGGGGAGCAAACAGGAUUAGAAACCCUAGUAGUCC
rnacentral:rRNA from 1 species